rfam:Dehalobacter sp. CF, complete genome.
ACAGUACAAACUGAGCAGGCGAUGAACUUGGACACAAGUUCAUGGGGCUGGGCCCGAUGGGCAGCAGGUGAUGAUAACAUAUACCUGUGGGACAGUA